CUAAUUCAUACUUUACUUUGCAUUGGGCAUUCGAACAAGGUCGUGAAAGAACUGUAGAGUUUGACAAUUACUGGACAUUGCUAUCCUCGCUCUCUGCAAAUGUGGAGGCCAGUGUGCCCCUGCUAGCAUGCUAGGAAGGCUGACGGGCCCUGACCGUCUUGUUUUCACUUUGACCCUUCCUCCCUGGGAGCUGCCAUCAGAGCAGCUCUUGAAUGCGAAUUCUAUCCCCUUCUUCUCCCUGCUGUGCCUUCCUUCCAUCUAUCUUCUGGAAACGGACUAAUUCCCAUUGAAAACUGUACUUCUUAACUUGGACAUCCUUACAGCAGGCAAGGAAUCAAGGCUUCUAGACACCACCGGAUGAGUCAAGGUACCGUGGCCCAGACAAACUAAGCACUGGUUCUGUCACCACAUAGACACAAAGGCAUUCAAGAAACCACAGCCCUCUGGCUUUGUUGCUCCUUCCUUCAUAAUCAAAUCAACAGAGUGUGUUUGUAGAAUUCACCCACAACACAAACAGAUGCCGCGAAACACCUUGGAGCGGUUGGCCGGCAGAAAUGCCCACUGAGCGGGCUGUGAUUCACUCGGGAGGAGGAAGGCCUCGGAGGGCAGCCAAUCGAAGACGGACCCAGGGAAAAGUCGCUGGGUUCUUACAGGAAGCGAUCUAAUUAUGUUACUGUAAUCCUCAAGCUCGCAUUUUUCAGCCACCUCAACACGAACUCACAGACUUCAACGAUUAUGUAAUUACGGAAAACUUCACAACAAACAUGAAGAUUCCUUCUGGAGGCCACAUUGAAGACCGGGAUGUGCAUUAGAGCGUGGGAGGGAAGCACGCAGCUCACAAAAGGAAGAGCAAAGAGAUGUAUUGAACUUAAAAGGUUACAUUUGAAAAGGGGCCCCUACCAGACCUCCCCUUUUGUGUGCACAUUUUUUGCACCUGCAACUGUUUGCGGGCUCGAAAGCAAUAGCCCUCCCCCUUCUCCCAAGAGGCCACGCUUUCAUGCCUUGGCCCCAAAUGUGUCAUUUUCCUGCCAGGGGGAGAAAUCAAAAGAAACCAAGUUUUUAGAACUUUGCUGUAAAGAAAAUAAUAGUUUUGAAAAGGAUUGGAGCCACAUUUUCAGGUUAGACACAGUUGUUAGAGAAAUGUCAGAAGGAAAACGUUCCUCUUCACUUUCUUUCCUAGCUCGUUGAAGUUCUUCAUUUCACUGGGUUCUGGGUGACAUCUGUAGCAUCCAUUUCAGCGCAGUCUGCAGCAGGCUUUUGACUCCACAGCAUGUAACUGUCCUCAGACCACCGUGUUCAAAGUCGAGAUUCCAAAUGGACCUUCCUGACUCUUCACAGAGAAGAUGCCAUAUAAAUCAUUUCCAUUAAAACAAACCUUUGAUACCACCAGCGAAUUGUGGAAUUUUGAUAAUGAUGCUUGUGAAUGAAGUGCUGACAAAUGGUCUUGCUUUAGAUGGUGUUUGUGGGUGGGGCUUGGGUUAGAGCCAGGAUCAACCUUGAUUUUGGCCACUGAUCCAUUUCCUCUCUCCCCACCACCCACCUCAUAUGUUGAGAUGAAAGUUACAGCAGAAAGCCUCUUUUGAACCAUUAUGAACAAUUCUAUUCAAAGCAGCAUCUGUGAAUUUUUAUAAGACUGGCCAAGAUUGGCUCAAUUAUUUCUCCAUUCUCUCCAGGGGAUAGAAAGUUUCCAAUCAAGGGUUACAAUGGAAGCAAAAAUGUUAUGUUCAUGGGAGGUAGAAUGCAUUGCUAAAUAGAUGGAAGACAAAAUAAAGUUCCUCAGUAUACAUAAUAGCUCAAGGAUGAACUUGGUUGAACAGAUUAGAGGAACAGAUGCAGAUAAAAUAAACUUCUCUCUCUUUGGUUUAACUUGGGAGACUGAGGAUUUUCUAUAUGGUACAAACCUUGAUGAAUGUUGAGGAUAUAGGGGUUCUCAUAUAUCUUAUAAUAUACUAGUGAGUCAUCUGGUGAGAUGGCUGGAAGUUUUUUUUUUAAGUAGAUAUAAUCUCAUAAGUGAGGAGAAAAUAAAUCAUUGUCUCAGCUAGAGAGAGUGAUCCUUUUGAACCCUUAUAUGGUUCAAUCUCAUUUUAACAUUUUUGAAGCAGGUAGGUUUGGGAUUUCUGGUUCCUGUAAAGCAAAGCCCAUGAUGGUUCUUUGAUUCAGUUGUCUCCUGGGGAAAAUGAGGGAAGAAGGUUUAAGUGGUUUGUUAUCAGUGGCUACUGAAUUACACCUUUUACACCAUUACUUUUUUUAUUUAUAUUUAUUUAUUUUUAUUUUUUGAGAUGGAGUUUUGCUCUUGUUGCCCAGGCUGGAGUGCAAUGGCACGAUCUCGGCUCAGCACAACCUCCGCCUCCCAGGUUCAAGCGAUUCUCCUGCCUCAGCCUCCCGAGAAGUUGGGAUUACAUACACCAUUACUUUUAACGACAAAACCAGCAACUACUUUUGCACCAGUCCAAUAUAUGGAGGGAUUUACUGAU
rnacentral:lncRNA from 10 species